rnacentral:rRNA from 1 species
CUCCAAUAGCGUAUAUUAAAGUUGUUGCAGUUAAAAAGCUCGUAGUUGAACUUCAGGCUUGGUCGGGUGGUCCGCCUCACGGUGUGUACUGUCUGACUGAGUCUUACCUCUUGGUGAGCCGGCGUGCCCUUUAUUGGUGUGCGUCGGGGAACCAGGACUUUUACCUUGAGAAAAUUAGAGUGUUCAAAGCAGGCCUAUGCCUGAAUACAUUAGCAUGGAAUAAUAAAAUAGGACGUGCGGUUCUAUUUUGUUGGUUUCUAGAGUCGCCGUAAUGAUUAAUAGGGAUAGUUGGGGGCAUUGGUAUUGAGUCGCUAGAGGUGAAAUUCUUGGAUUGACUCAAGACCGACUACUGCGAAAGCAUUUGCCAAGGAUGUUUUCAUUAAUCAAGAACGAAGGUUAGGGGAUCGAAAACGAUCAGAUACCGUUGUAGUCUUAACAG